CCUACGGGAGGCUGCAGUAGGGAAUAUUGCUCAAUGGGGGAAACCCUGAUGCAGCAACGCCGCGUGGAGGAUGAAGGUUUUCGGAUUGUAAACUCCUUUUGUUAGAGAAGAUAAUGACGGUAUCUAACGAAUAAGCACCGGCUAACUCCGUGCCAGCAGCCGCGGUAAUACGGAGGGUGCAAGCGUUACCCGGAAUCACUGGGCGUAAAGAGCGCGUAGGCGGGAUCGCAAGUCCGAUGUGAAAUCCUAUGGCUUAACCAUAGAACUGCAUUUGAAACUGUUAUUCUAGAGUAUGGGAGAGGGAAGGGGAAUUCCUGGGGUAGGGGUAAAAUGCGUAGAGAUUAAGAGGAAAAC
rnacentral:rRNA from 1 species